CCUACGGGUGGCAGCAGUGGGGAAUAUUGCACAAUGGGGGGAACCCUGAUGCAGCGACGCCGCGUGAGUGAAGAAGUAUUUCGGUAUGUAAAGCUCUAUCAGCAGGGAAGAAGAUGACGGUACCUGACUAAGAAGCCCCGGCUAACUACGUGCCAGCAGCCGCGGUAAUACGUAGGGGGCAAGCGUUAUCCGGAUUUACUGGGUGUAAAGGGAGCGUAGACGGCAGGGCAAGUCUGGAGUGAAAGCCCGGGGCCCAACCCCGGGACUGCUUUGGAAACUGCCAUGCUAGAGUGCUGGAGAGGUAAGCGGAAUUCCUAGUGUAGCGGUGAAAUGCGUAGAUAUUAGGAGGAACACCAGUGGCGAAGGCAGCAUACCGGCGCUCAACUGACGCUCAUGCACGAAAGCGUGGGUAUCGAACAGGAUUAGAUACCCCUGUAGUC
rnacentral:rRNA from 1 species